UACGUAGGGUGCGAGCGUUAAUCGGAAUUACUGGGCGUAAAGCGCGCGUAGGCGGCUUUGUAAGUCGGAUGUGAAAUCCCCGGGCUUAACCUGGGAACUGCAUUCGAGACUGCAUAGCUAGAGUAUGGGAGAGGGAAGUGGAAUUUCAGGUGUAGCGGUGAAAUGCGUAGAUAUCUGAAGGAACAUCAGUGGCGAAAGCGACUUCCUGGACCAAUACUGACGCUCAUGUGCGAAAGCGUGGGGAGCAAACAGG
rnacentral:rRNA from 1 species